rnacentral:rRNA from 1 species
AUGGUUUUUAUCUGCUAUAGGAUAGGAUCGUGGUCGAUUAUGGUUGUUGGUGAGGUAAUGGCUCACCAAGCCGAUAAUCGAUAGGGGCCGUGAGAGCGGGAGCCCCGAGAUGGGUACUGAGACAACGACCCAGGCCUUACGAGGCGCAGCAGGCGCGAAACCUCCGCAAUACACGAAAGUGUGACGGGGUUACCCAAAGUGUUCAAUUUUGAACUGUGGUAGGUGAGUAAUGUUCCCUACUAGAAAGGAGAGGGCAAGGCUGGUGCCAGCCGCCGCGGUAAAACCAGCUCUUCAAGUGGUCGGGAUAAUUAUUGGGCUUAAAGUGUCCGUAGCCGGUUUAGUAAGUUCCUGGUAAAAUCGGGUAGCUUAACUAUCUAUAUGCUAGGAAUACUGCUAUACUAGAGGGCGGGAGAGGUCUGAGGUACUACAGGGGUAGGGGUGAAAUCUUAUAAUCCUUGUAGGACCACCAGUGGCGAAGGCGUCAGACUGGGACGCGCCUGACGGUGAGGGACGAAAGCCAGGGGAGCGAACCGGAUUAGAUACCCGGGUAGUCCUGGCCGUAAACGAUGCAUACUAGGUGAUGGCAUGGCCAUGAGCCAUGUCAGUGCCGUAGGGAAACCGUUAAGUGUGCCGCCUGGGAAGUACGGUCGCAAGGCUAAAACUUAAAGGAAUUGGCGGGGGAGCACCACAAGGGGUGAAGCCUGCGGUUCAAUUGGACCCAACGCCGGAAAACUUACCAGGGGAGACAGCAGUAUGACGGUCAGGUUGACGACCUUACCUAACGAGCUGAGAGGAGGUGCAUGGCCGUCGCCAGUUCGUGCCGUGAGGUAUCCUGUUAAGUCAGGCAACGAACGAGAUCCGCACCUUUAUUUGCCACCAAGAAGUCACGACUUCGUUGGGAACACUAAAGGGACCGCCGUCGAUAAGACGGAGGAAGGAGCGGGCAAAGGCAGGUCAGUAUGCCCCGAAACCCCUGGGCUACACGCGGGCUGCAAUGGUAUGAACAAUGGGCUGUGACUCCGAAAGGAGAAACCAAUCCCGAAAUCAUAUCUCAGUUGGAAUUGUCGGCUGUAACCCGCCGACAUGAACGCGGAAUCCCUAGUAAUCGUGUGUCAUCAUCGCACGGUGAAUACGUCUCUGCUCCUUGCACACACCGCCCGUCGCUCCAUCCGAGUGUACUAAAAAUGAGGUUUGGUCAGACUGGUCAUAUCGAGUUUCUAGUAUGCGA